GACAGAGGGUGCAAACGUUGUUCGGAAUUACUGGGCGUAAAGCGCAUGUAGGCGGCAGCGCAAGUCGGGCGUGAAAUCCCACGGCUCAACCGUGGAAGUGCACUCGAAACUGCGCAGCUAGAGUCCUGGAGAGGAAGGUGGAAUGCUUGGUGUAGAGGUGAAAUUCGUAGAUAUCAAGCGGAACACCGGUGGCGAAGGCGGUUCUCUGGGCAUUACCUGACGCUGAGGAGCGAAAGUGUGGGGAGCGAACAGG
rnacentral:rRNA from 1 species